CAAGUGAGUAAAAAUGUAAGAUCACUUUAAGCUGCAUUUGACUAAAAUACCAUCAGCACACAGACAGCUGGCCUCCCUGCUCUGGUAUCGGACCAAUUUCUCCCGAUUUCGUACCAAAGGUUUUUUUGGUGAGGGAGCCAUUCCCCACCUUUCCAGCAGGGAACAUCUGUAUCCUCCCCGUCCUGCGCACCUUUGGUUAAUCGCUGAAUCAGACUGAUUCUGCUGCCUGCCUCCUCAGCCGCUGGUAAUCACAAACUGGUCUACCAGUGGCAGCACUGAGCACGCCGAUGCUGAGCAGCGCAGAAGAGAUUUUGCACCAUCCUGCGUUUGAAGUAGUUUUGUGUUGACUUUACUGGAAGUCACUCCCUUUCUGUUCAAAAAUGUAAAGUCUCUCGUUGACGUCGAACAAACACUCAAACCUGCUGAAAGACUUUGACAUCACAAGAUCAGACACCUUCAGUACACGUGCUCUGUAUAUCCGGAGGAAUCGGUUUUAAAAAUAAAAAACGUAGGCGAACGAGGCCGUGAUCUUGCCUCCCGCUCAGAGAAGCCAGUCCUUCCAGAAUUAGACUGCUCCCCGCUGAUGAAUGAAGACAUUAAUUGAAAAUGGUCACUGUAGGAGAUCCGAAAAUGAGGCGGAGGGCCGUGCCAGCCAGAUAGAGUGCUGAAAGAAAAAUGAGACA